rnacentral:rRNA from 1 species
CAGCCGUAAACAAUGUGCGUUAGGUGUGUCGGUAACUACGCGUUACUGAUGCGCCGAAGAGAAAUCGUGAAACGCACCACCUGGGAAGUACGGUCGCAAGGCUGAAACUUAAAGGAAUUGGCGGGGGAGCACCACAACAGGUGGAGCCUGCGGUUUAAUUGGAUUCAACGCCGGACAUCUCACCGGAUAAGACAGCUGAAUGAUUGUCAAUCUGAAGGUUUUACAUGACUAGCUGAGAGGAGGUGCAUGGCGUCAGUGACU